rnacentral:rRNA from 1 species
AGAGGCCCAAGUUGACAAAUACCGGCGUAAAAUGUGGUUUAUACAGUAUUGCACUAAAGCUAAACUUCUUCAAAGCUGUCAUACGCACUCGAAGAAAAGAGGACCUUCCGCGAAAGUGGCUUUAAAUAAUAUUAACCCACGAAAGCUAGGAAACAAACUGGGAUUAGAUACCCCACUAUGCCUAGCCCUAAACACAAGUGACUACUUACACCCCCCGCUUGCCAGGGAACUACGAGCCCCAGCUUAAAACCCAAAGGACUUGGCGGUGCUUUAGACCCACCUAGAGGAGCCUGUUCUAGAACCGAUAACCCCCGUUAAACCUCACCCUCCCUUGUCACUCCCGCCUAUAUACCGCCGUCGUCAGCUUACCCUGUGAGGGACUCAUAGUGAGCAUAAUUGGCAUAGCCUAAAACGCCAGGUCGAGGUGUAGCGUACGAGAGGGGAAGAAAUGGGCUACAUUCACUGCAUCAGUGAAAACGAAUAAUGCUUUGAAACAAGUAUUUAAAGGAGGAUUUAGCAGUAAGGAGGGAAUAGAGUGCCCUUCUGAAACUGGCCCUGAAGCGCGCACACACCGCCCGUCACUCUCCCCAAAAUAGUAGGCAAAUCUUAAAUAAACAGAAUCCUAGACAAAGGGGAGGCAAGUCGUAACAUGGUAAGUGUACCGGAAGGUGCACUUGGAAAAACC